AUUGAACGCUGGCGGCAUGCUUUACACAUGCAAGUCGAACGGCAGCGCGGGCUUCGGCCUGGCGGCGAGUGGCGAACGGGCGAGUAAUGCAUCGGAACGUGCCCAGUAGUGGGGGAUAGACCGGCGAAAGCCGGAUUAAUACCGCAUACGACCUGAGGGUGAAAGCGGGGGACCGAAAGGCCUCGCGCUAUUGGAGCGGCCGAUGUCGGAUUAGCUAGUUGGUGGGGUAAAGGCUUACCAAGGCGACGAUCCGUAGCUGGUCUGAGAGGACGACCAGCCACACUGGGACUGAGACACGGCCCAGACUCCUACGGGAGGCAGCAGUGGGGAAUUUUGGACAAUGGGGGCAACCCUGAUCCAGCCAUGCCGCGUGCGGGAAGAAGGCCUUCGGGUUGUAAACCGCUUUUGUUCGGGAAGAAAUCCUCUGGGCUAAUACCCCGGGGGGAUGACGGUACCGGAAGAAUAAGCACCGGCUAACUACGUG
rnacentral:rRNA from 1 species